AGUCUUCUCCUAGUGGCCUUCAGAUGAAGAUGUAGAACUCUCAGCUCCUCCUGCAUCAUGUUCCUGCCUUGAUGAUAAUGGACUGAACCUCUGAACCUUGCUCUUCAGGACUAUGACCAUGCAGUGACAGGCUGAGGCUACCAUCCUGUCAUUAGAAGAGAUGGUGGAGUUGGAAGAGAAAGUGCUGAAUUUCCACUCCUGCAUGCACAGGGUUUUGCUGUGUAACCAAAGCUGCCUUCACACUCUCAUAAGCCAGGCUGCCUUGAAUUCAGAGGUCCUCUUGCAUCAGCAUCCCAGAGGCUUAAGACAUACACUGGCUUCUAACAAACUGAAAAAAAAAAAAUCCACAUGCCGGGAAGGGAGCUCACUGCAC
rnacentral:lncRNA from 1 species